GUAGCUUAGUGGUUAGAGCAUCUGCCUCAGAUGCAGGAGAUCUUGGGUUCAAUUUUCAGCCGUGUCA